rnacentral:rRNA from 1 species
UACGGAGGGGGCAAGCGUUAUUCGGAAUUAUUGGGCGUAAAGGGCGCGUAGGCGGCUAGAUGUGUCAAAGGUGAAAUCCCUCGGCUCAACUGAGGAACUGCCUUUGAAACUGUCUGGCUUGAGGCCGGGAGAGGGUAGCGGAAUUCCCAGUGUAGCGGUGAAAUGCGUAGAUAUUGGGAGGAACACCGGUGGCGAAGGCGGCGACCUGGUCCUUGACUGACGCUGAGGCGCGAAAGCGUGGGGAGCAAACAGG